AAUCGUUCCUCCUUUGUUUCUCGCGGUUGUCUGAAAAGUGAAAAAUGAAUUAGUGCCUCGAAUAGUUGGUUGAUUCCGAAUUUGAAAACAUGGACUUAAUAGAAAAUAUAAUAUUUCGAACACCAAAACAAAAAGCUUUGGUGUUACAACUUUAUAAAGAUCUUAAAUUCGUUAGGGGGAACGAAGAUGUGAAGAUACAUCAGUUUGAUGAGUUGGAUUUAGUGUACAUUACAGGAUACUUGCCUGAUGCUGAGAGACAACAGGAAAUCUUUUUGCCUUUAGCUGCAGAUGAAGCUAUUUCAAUGAAAAAAAUAGGAGAAGUUCAAAAAUGUCUGUUUCAUCGACACAAAUCAUCAAGACUGACGUUGGCACUAAUGGAUUCUGAUUCCACUACUGUUUAUUUUGGUGUAACACCUGGCUUAUUACCUCCAUCAGAUUUGGAGGGAGUCUUGUAUAGAAACCUUUCAAAUCACACUCACAGCAUCGUGUCGCCCAGUCUCAUCUCUAGAAUGCAUUCCAUGUCAUUUAUUACAGCCCCAAACGAAGAAGUGGCCAAAACUAUUGCCCGAGGCCUUGUUUCUGAAAAACUGGCUGCUUGUGUCAACAUAAUUCCAAAGAUCACAUCUGUGUACAGUUGGGAAGGAAAAGUUAAUGAAGAUUCAGAAGUCUUGAUGAUGGUGAAAACCAGAACUUCAAGACUACCAGAGCUAACGGAAUAUGUCAAAAAGAACCAUCCUUAUGAAGUUUGUGAAGUAAUUUCCACUGAGAUCUUACAAGGGAACAAACCAUAUUUGGAUUGGAUUUUAGAAUCUGUACCUGAAAAGGCCGAGUAAAUACUAUUGUCAUUAGGUUUUCUUCUUUUCGUCAGCCGUUGCCUCGUGCAGAACUACAAUUCAACUUCCGGAUGCCCCUUUUCUUCUGGAAUAACCCUGUCGCCUGCCCUUCUAUGUGUUCGCUAUCUGCGGCUACCUUUAAGGUAAGUUGAGCAGUUCCAUCAUCUUGUGUAACCGAUGGCCUAUUUUAAUAUCCGUCCCUCGACCAGCCAAAUUAGUAGCCACGAUUGAAUGUCCGAAAGUGAGUUCAACGAUUUUGAAUACCAAUUUUUCAAAGAGACCUGGUACCUGGACAGUCGUUUCAUUAAAAAAAAAAAAAAAAAAAAAAACCAAAAACAUGUAACAACAAAAUUGUACAGAGGGCGUAGCCAAGCUUAUUCAAUGAAUUAAUUUUAUUUAACCAGAAAAUCCGCCGUUUCAGCCUACCUGUGCUUUAACACAUUGGCCAAAAUUGUUAGGAUUACUAGGUGGCGGGCAUUUGGGAAUAUUAUACGCUAUUGAACCUCCACCCGUGCUCUCGGCUAAUUUAUUGCUACAGUAAACCUGUAAUUCUUGCGUGUCUUGUGCCAAAUGUAAUAUUUGCCCUUCUUCGCAUGGUCCCUGAGUCCAUAUCUCCCAGCAUUGUUUGGCCUUGGAAGGGUCGGGAUGCCAGUAGACGUGUUGACCGUCAGUUGAGCAUCCUUCCGGGACGGGUUCGCACUGCGGAGUGUUCUUCAGUACGAACCAUUCUCCAUUUCCACAGGGGCCCUUUUAAUAGUGAGAUAAAAGCUGUUAUAUUUUAGUCAGAACAAUUUAUAGUUAAACCAACUUCCGUGUCACCUGAGUAUUUUGCCGAUGACAGAAGCCAGUCUCAUCUGAAUAUAUUGGCCGUAGUUCUGAUUUCGCUUUUUCCCUCGUCAGAUCGAGACAGUAACAAAAUCCUUCGUUUUUUUCAUCGUCAUAGAGUCCCAUGUGCUCCGGACAAUGUUCGCUCCUUUCUCUUGUACUGAUGGGAAGACAUUGGCCAUUGAAAAAUGUCUCGUCUGGUGACUCGCAAUGCCUAUCCCUUGAAAUCGAAUAGAUAUUUACAUCAUUUGUUACUUAGCUUACCAACUGUAACACCGUAGAUUUAUUUUUGCUUACUUGGCGAGGAACAGAAUUCCAGCCAUGUACUUUUUCAGAGAUUCAGGCGUCUCGCCAGAAUUCGCCAACGAUUUCUCGUUUAGGGCUAUACAUUCCCAUGUAUUUUUUAUUUCUCUUAGAAUAGUUUGGGCGUGUUGGUCGUCGCCAUAUUCCACGUAAUCUACCAAUUCAGUUCCGAAGCUUUUCAAUAUUUCCACUAAAAAACUGCCUAGUUCCUCGUCGUUUGGGUCAGCUGCUGCUGCUCUUUUGCAUUCUUCUAUUAUCUCCGUGAAAUUCUCAUCGUUGGAAAUAUGACUUUUCGCCCUAGUAACACCGAUGCAUAUUUAAAAAAAGCAAGUUUUAAUUUAGUCUAAUUUAAAAUCUUACCGAAUCGUAUUAGUGUGUGAAGUGCAGAUUGAUCCACAGAGGAAAAAGAAGAACAAGAUGUUGUGGACAAACAACAGCUGAUUUGAUUUUUUCACUUUUCGAUUCAUUUCUCAAAGGCGGAAGAUGUUAAAAACAAGUUCAAACAUCCAGAACGACUGACACUGAAAGAAAACAAAGGAAUUUCAGCUUGAGACUGAAAGAGAGCAAACACGAAAUUGGCGUAAUGUAGGUUGUUCUGUUGGGUUACGUUUUUUUUUUACCGUUUUGAAUUCUGCACCCAUUUGAGGAAUCGACGAAUAGGUGGCAGUAAACAUUCUUCUGGGGCCAGUUCCAGACAGAGAUGCCCUUCACCUUCAGUACGAACUGCUUAGAUACAACGCACAGAUAAAAAUCUCUUGAUGCAAAUUUAAAUGUCUGCCUUCUGGCCAAAAAGUCACAACAAGAGACCGAAGGCUCAGGAGAACGUGAAUUUUGUUGCAAGUCUAUUUCCUUUUUUUAAAAAAUGUUUCUAUGUACAUGGGCAUAGUUGGCGAGAACUCACUCACCAUUUAGCAAAGGUUCUGGGUUUGUGUGUCAGUUUUGUUCAGUCAAAUCGUCCGCGUACAUUGGUUGCAUUGCAUUGGUUAGUAUGUGUUCCUUUCUUUUCAGCGUCUUGGAUUGGGAUUGACUUGUCUAUAUUUUGCAAUUUUUCUUGCAUUUUGUUUUAGAAUUUUCCGAGGUCAUACAACCCCAUUCCAAUCGCAACGGAAGUCAAAAUUGCUCUCCAAUGCUCUCCAAUGUGCACAAGGCGACGCACUGACGCUGAAAUAUAAUUCUUUUCACGCGUAAAUUUCCGUCUUCUUAUUUUGCACGAAUUUCCCGCCGGAUUGUGAAGUCGAUAAUUUUUGACUGCCUUAUUUCGAACGGGGAAUUCCAAUUUUUUUUUUUUUUUUUUUUUAUUUAAAGGCGUACUCGUAUAACGAGUGUUGCCUGUGUAUUACAAUAGGAAUGUUUAACAAUUCGUACAAAGCGUUAAGUUAUAUAAUAAAAUAACAGCAACACAACAUCGUUCCUUCAAACCGGAAGGGAGGUAGGAAGAAAGGGAGGCAAAAAGAAAAGUGAAGCAUGGUCUAAUGUGCGUAGGCGCGGUAUCGAUUGGAUCUUCGUUCGAGGAAUUCUUAUUUUCCAGUAAUUUGAUACUUCUGAAACAAAUGUGAAACCAAUCGAGUGGAUGCAAGUUGAGAAAAACAAGUCAAUUGAAUCUGUGCCGGAGCAAAAAGAAAAGCCAGGUAAAUCAAUAGAGAUUAAGCAAAAGGUGAAUCCACUUGAGAAAUUGCAACGAAUGACGAAACUAGCAGAAAUGGCCAAAAAUUAUUCAGAAAAAACAGCAGAUGCAGAAGAGCAGCAAGCCGGGCAAAUAGAAAAACCAGUAGAGCACGCACAGGCACAGGAAGUGAAUGCACACGAACAUGCGCAACAAGACCGAAAUGAGAAACCAAAUGAUUUAUUAUUACUCCAGCCAACAGAUAUGCCAUCCGCAGUUGAACUCCUAGCCCCACCGAUUGAAAAGGUUGACGAACGCCGAAUUCAGCAUCAUCCGGAUGAAAAUUUGAAUGUUGCAACAACAACUGAGCAAGUUGUGUCCGAGGACUCCGAGCUGGACGACGAAAUUUCACGAAUCAUACAAACUUUAUCAGAUGGAUAUGAUUCAACAUUUGAGCAAGAAGUGCUUACCGAUCUUGCAAAUUCCACAAAUAAGGGUGAAUUACGCAUACCCGAUACAACCGUCAUUCCAUCUUAUCAACAAGAAAGUAAACCUACAGAGGAAAAACUAAGUGCGAUUUCUCCGGUCUACCCCACGCUAAACGAAAAAUAUGAAAAAGAAGAAACAGCAGCUGAUUUGCUCCGAAAAUUUUACUCAUCAUAUAUUCGACCAGCAAGAAAAACUGAAUCAGUUGAUCAUCUAAAGAUAGGGGAAAUACAUCCCAAUCAUAAUAGCUGAAUAACGUAGGAAAUAAACAGCCCGACAAAGUUUUGGAGGAACUCUCUGCAUAAUAUGCGUUUAUUUUCAUUGUACAAAUGUUACUGUUUUGCCAAUAAAUUUCCGUGUUUUUUGUUGA